GUGCCGUGCGCACAAGGGCAGCUUGGACCUCAGCGACUGAAGCGAGCGCGGGCUCCCAGCCUUGGGCGAGGCCCAAUUCCAGGCCUUCUGUCGCUGUCAGCCCGCUGCCACCGCUGAGGGGUGAUGGUCACUGCUUAGUCGCCGAAUGUGCCAGGACCAGCCGCAGGCUUGCAAGUAGCAGCCGGCCUUCCCAGGGUCAGACUGCUCUGACCCUCUUCUCGAGAAUUCGGUGACAUUUCCACUUCAGCUUUCCUGAGGAAGCCCGAGUUAGGAAGCCGCCUGUAGAGGAGAUUUGGAGGGGCUCUUUGGUAAGCCCAGGUUUGCAGAAAGUGAGUACAGCAUCAGUGCCUUCAUAAUCAGGAGUGUCCAAAAGGACAGAGGCCCACGUUACAAUAAACGGAAGCUGUGGUUGGAAGUCAUGGUGAAGACACACUCGCAUUCUGAGCCCAGAUUUACAUCGAGAUUGUUCUUCUUCAACACCACUGCUAUUCCCGGAAAGAACACUAGUGUCUUUGAUCCUUGGCUGAUGAAAAUUGUAUAAGAGGAAUAUGAAAUUUUAAAGUCACUAUGGAGACCAUCUACUCUGCGUAAAAUGAUGAAAGGGCACAGGAAGAUGAUAAUGAAACACCACCACUUGGAAAGCCGUCAACAUUGUUUGGCUUUAAGGCGAUUGGUGGCAACUCACCACCCAGCGGCAAUCUCGUCGCAAGUGAGAAAAGCAAGAUGGAGUGUGGGGGGGCACCCCCAACAGAGCCCUCAUGUUGCAAUCUACCCUCAUAGUCUGCUCUGGAUUGUGGACACAUGUGCACCCCGUGUAUUAUUCAACAAGGUCUCCUGAUGGGAACUUGGAACCUUCCCAUGUAGGUCAGCUUUGCAGUGUUGUGUCUCUGCUGUGUCAUUCUGUGUCCC